UCCAUCGGACCAAGUCUUCACUUAGGGUUAUUCACUACUUGUCUCUCAUAAGUCUCACUACUUUCACUUAGAGAAUAGAGAUACACUGUUGCUGGUUGCUGCUCAACAGUUUAAGAGAUGAAACGUUGUUGCUGACUGUUGCUACUGCGCUCAAGACUCAAGAGUGAAUAGUUGUUUAGUUUCUUUGUUGUUGAGAAGUCACUUUUCAAGGAAGGACUACCUAACUUCUUUUGUGCAACUCAAUGCCGAAAAGAGUCGUUUUCAGAGAACAUUUGUAAACCAGGUUUCAUCAUGCCCCCACUUAGUAGACCUAAAGGUUGAUCACAUAUUUGGAGUCACUAUGAAAUGCUUGAAGUAGAUGAUGAUGGACAAAACAAAGUAACGUGUGUUCAUUAUGAUAAUUUACAUAUGGAAAAUUGGGACCAACUGCUUAGUGAAACAUAUUGAGAGUUGUUUGGAGAGGAUGUGUAAUGACCCUCAUGGUCAUUUUCAGUGUUUUCAUAUAUUUUUGGGAUUUAGAGCUUUCUUAUAACUGCCCACGUUAUUUAUGACUUGCUGGGACUGAUAGUUCGGUUCCCGGGUGGUUUGUUUGAGAAUUUUAGUGAUAUCAAAUAUAUUAUGGGGUGUUUAAUAUAAAUUGACAUUUGGUAGAA